rnacentral:rRNA from 1 species
UACGUAGGGUGCAAGCGUUGUCCGGAAUUAUUGGGCGUAAAGAGCUCGUAGGCGGUUCGUCGCGUCGGCUGUGAAAUCCCGAGGCUCAACCUCGGGUCUGCAGUCGAUACGGGCGGACUGGAGUUCGGCAGGGGAGACUGGAAUUCCUGGUGUAGCGGUGAAAUGCGCAGAUAUCAGGAGGAACACCGGUGGCGAAGGCGGGUCUCUGGGCCGAUACUGACGUGAGGAGCGAAAGCGUGGGGAGCGAACAGG